CAGCAACCACAGGAAGAAGGUAAUGGUUUGGAGGAGACUUUGUGCACAAUGCGAUGCACUGAAAACCUUGAUGACCCGUCAAGUGCUGAUGUCUACAAGCCAUCGCUCGGAUACAUUAGCACACUCAACAGCUACAACCUCCCUAUCCUCAGAUUCCUCCGCCUUAGCGCUCUUCGUGGCUCCAUCCAUAACGUAACCUCCACGAAACUUUUAUUUAAAUUUGUGCUGACAUUUUUUUUCCAAAAAAUAAUUAAUUUCACAAUUUGGAUGAAUAACGGCAGAACGCUAUGGUGCUGCCGCAAUGGAACGUGAACGCAAACGCGGCACUCUACGUGACAAAGGGGAAGGCUCAUAUACAGAUGGUGAACGACAACGGACAAAGAGUGUUCGACCAAGAGAUCUCCAAGGGACAGUUACUUGUCGUGCCACAAGGCUUCGCGGUCGUGAAACGUGCCACAAGCCAACAGUUCCAGUGGAUCGAAUUCAAGAGCAACGACAACGCGCAGAUCAACACACUCGCGGGACGCACCUCAGUCAUGAGAGGUUUACCACUUGAAGUUAUAUCCAACGGGUAUCAGAUCUCACCCCAAGAAGCUAGAAGUGUUAAGUUCAGCACCCUUGAGACCACAUUGACUCAAAGCAGUGGUCCUAUGGGCUACGAUAUGCCUAGGGUCGAGGCUUGAAGCAUGAGUUAGUGAUGUAACAGCGUUUGAAUGUUCGGUUUUGUACGGUUUGUGAUAAAAAUAAUGUACAAAAGAAGUUCUACGCUUUAAGGC
rnacentral:lncRNA from 1 species